CCAUCAUUGAGCUGGGCACUUUAAGAGACUGCCGGUGUUAAACCGGAGGAAGGUGGGAUGACGUCAAGUCCUCAUGGCCUUUAUGCCCAGGGCUACACACGUGCUACAAUGGGUGGUACAAAGAGCAGCCGGCUCGCGAGAGUGAGCAAAUCUCAAAAAGCCAUCCUCAGUUCGGAUUGAAGUCUGCAACUCGACUUCAUGAAGUCGGAAUCGCUAGUAAUCGCGGAUCAGCACGCCGCGGUGAAUACGUUCCCGGGCCUU
rnacentral:rRNA from 1 species